rnacentral:lncRNA from 1 species
UCCACAUCCCCCUGCCUUUUCCGAGAAAAGGACAGUUAGUGCCUGGACCAAGACUAUCAUAUUGGGGACCGUCUUCUCUGCUCUCCCUUUAUGGGGGUCGGGAGAACGAUGGGUCAAGGGUUGUCCGAAGAAAGCGAGAAAGCGACGGGCGCCUUCAAAAGCCCCCUUGGCGAUGUUACAGUAAGAGCAUUGCUCCUUGCUUGGCCGAGCACUGCGGAGUUUCACGCCUCUAAACCCCGCCUCUCCUUGCAACAUGUGUUGGCCUUAUCUACCCAGCAACUGUCGACGUCACACGACCUGGACCUCCCUGAAUGGGAGAUAUUUACUAGACAAUCCCGCCUACUGUUCUGAGGUUUCCCCUCCAGGUGCCGCUUCGCAGCCAGGCGAGCCAGGAAGGACCGAAGCGGGCGAGGUGGAAGUCUGCAUUAUCAUGAGGAGCUUGGAAAGGAGGUAACACACUCAAAGUAAAUUUCAAGUAACUCCUUCUAGAGGCAGCUGCCUACUCUGCAGCUGUGGUUCUCCACCACAGAGAGAAGAAAAGGGAGGGAGAUGGAGUGCGCAGGUCUGAGAAGGCUUUCAUUCUGGAGCAUCUGCAGGAGCCUGUACCAUGGCCCAGUAGCACCCCUUUUUCUCCAUGAGCUGCUGGUGGGUUCCCCCCUCCCGGAUAGUGCCUCCUUCCAGAAAGAGGAUGUGGUCAGCCUGCUCCACCAGGCUGAGGUUCUGGGUGAUGAGAAGCACUGAGCGAGAGUACCGCUCAGGACUUUCAUACAGGAGCUGCUCCACCUGAGGAAAGACAUCGGACCAUCAGAGCUGGGAGCCCAGGGAGCCACCUUUGUUUCCAGGGCUGGGACUGACCUCACAGGAUCACUGUUGACUCUGCCAACAACCCUAAGGACACCAAAGUUUCCCAUUCUGAGUACUUCUCUGCAAACCCUUUGUUUCAUUAAGAACUGUUUUAAAUGAAGGGUGCAAAAGUGGGAUAAAAGUGAGAGUCCUAGAGUGAAACACAUGACAGAAGAAUAAAGACUAUUGAAUAGUCCUCUUCUCUACCCAUGGACUUGGAAUUUUUAUAUUAGAUUUUAAGGAAAUAUAACUUAGUAGUAAAGAGGUGAGCCUUCAAGUCAGGCAGAUCCAAAUUUGGGUCAAGGCUGCACCACUCAAAAGCUAUAUGACCUCUAUAUGAGCAGCUUAUUCAAUCUCUUUUAGCCUCCAUUUUGUCAUCUGUAGAAUGAUGAUAAAUGCCUAGCUCAGAAGGAUUCCUAAUGAAUAAAUGAGUGGCAGUGUGUGUAAAGAGACUAGCUUAAUUAAUAUUAUGAUUAGGAUGGGCUGGGCCCAGUGGCUCAUGCCUCUAAUCCUAGCACUUUGGGAGGUCAAGGUGGGAAGAUCACUUGAGCCCAGGAGUUCAAGGCCAGCCUAGGCAACAUAGUGGGACCCUGUCUGUACCAAAAAAAAUUUAAAAAUAAACACUAUUAUGAGGAUGGCU